CUCCAUGAUUGUGUACAAUUUUCCCUGCAAGUUGCAUGGCAUGAUUCAAUUGAAGAAAUGUGGAGAGAGAGAGAAAGAGAGAGCUAUGGAAAGACACAAAAUGGAAAUGAAAAGAUUUUGAAAUUAGGGUUUUUGAAGUUUAAACUAGCCGUUAUUGUCUAACGUCUAUAUGACAAUAUUUGCAUUUUAGGACACGGGCGUGAUAUAUCAUACAUUUUUCUUGUGAGCCCACCGCUGAAAUAAACUGGCCUAGCAUCCCAGCCCAUUAUAUAAUUAUAUAAUUCGAAAUUGGAUUCAUCAAACUUCUUUGUUUUAUUAGAAGGGUUGAUAAACAUCUGCUUUAUUAAUGGCCUGCACUUAUUCUUCAUUAUAAAAUUAUAAAUGUUGCUUUAAUCUCUAAAAUUUUGAACGUAAUUGCCAUAGUUACAGAACACCAUAUUUCCUCACAGUUUUUGUUUUAAGGAUUAAAAUUGAAUUAUUAUAUGAAUUUCUUCGCAUUUUGUACGUUUAAAGAUCAUAAGAUUGGGAUUCUAGCGCUCGCCCGCG
rnacentral:misc_RNA from 1 species